AUACGUAGGGGGCAAGCGUUGUCCGGAAUGACUGGGCGUAAAGGGCGUGUAGGCGGUUUUUUAAGUCUGGAGUGAAAGUCCUGCUUUCAAGGUGGGAAUUGCUUUGGAAACUGGAGAACUUGAGUGCGGAAGAGGUAAGUGGAAUUCCCAGUGUAGCGGUGAAAUGCGUAGAGAUUGGGAGGAACACCAGUGGCGAAGGCGACUUACUGGGCCGUAACUGACGCUGAGGCGCGAAAGCGUGGGGAGC
rnacentral:rRNA from 1 species